rnacentral:rRNA from 1 species
AUUGAACGCUGGCGGCAGGCCUAACACAUGCAAGUCGAGCGAACGAAGGGAGCUCGCUCCUGGCUUCAGCUGCCGACGGGUGAGUAAUGACUAGGAGUCUGCCUGGUAGUGGGGGAUAACAUCCGGCCACGGCCGCUAAUACCGCAUCCGUCAUGAGGGAGAAAGUGGGGGAUCUUCGGACAUAACGCUUUCAGAUGACCCUAGGUCGUAUUAGCUAGUUGGUGUGGUAAAGGCUUACCAAGGCAACGAUGCGUAACUGAUCUGAGAGGGUGAUCCGCCACACUGGAACUGAGACACGGUCCAGACUCCUACGGGAGGCAGCAGUAGGGAAUCUUCGGCAAUGGGCGAAAGCUUGACGGAGCAACGCCGCGUGAGUGAUGAAGGUCUUCGGAUCGUAAAACUCUGUUAUUAGGGAAGAACAAAUGUGUAAGUAAAUAUGCCCGUCUUGACGGUACCUAAUCAGAAAGCAACGGCUAACUACGUG